rnacentral:rRNA from 1 species
AGUAGCCGCGGUAAUACAGAGGGUGCGAGCGUUAAUCGGAUUUACUGGGCGUAAAGCGUGCGUAGGCGGCUUCUUAAGUCGGAUGUGAAAUCCCUGAGCUUAACUUAGGAAUUGCAUUCGAUACUGGGAAGCUAGAGUAUGGGAGAGGAUGGUAGAAUUCCAGGUGUAGCGGUGAAAUGCGUAGAGAUCUGGAGGAAUACCGAUGGCGAAGGCAGCCAUCUGGCCUAAUACUGACGCUGAGGUACGAAAGCAUGGGGAGCAAACAGGAUUAGAUACCCCAGUAGUCCCUGUCUCUUAUACA